rnacentral:rRNA from 1 species
UUAAGCGACUAAGCGUACACGGUGGAUGCCCUGGCAGUCAGAGGCGAUGAAGGACGUGCUAAUCUGCGAUAAGCGUCGGUAAGGUGAUAUGAACCGUUAUAACCGGCGAUUUCCGAAUGGGGAAACCCAGUGUGUUUCGACACACUAUCAUUAACUGAAUCCAUAGGUUAAUGAGGCGAACCGGGGGAACUGAAACAUCUAAGUACCCCGAGGAAAAGAAAUCAACCGAGAUUCCCCCAGUAGCGGCGAGCGAACGGGGAGCAGCCCAGAGCCUGAAUCAGUAUGUGUGUUAGUGGAAGCGUCUGGAAAGGCGCGCGAUACAGGGUGACAGCCCCGUACACAAAAAUGCACAUAUUGUGAGCUCGAUGAGUAGGGCGGGACACGUGGUAUCCUGUCUGAAUAUGGGGGGACCAUCCUCCAAGGCUAAAUACUCCUGACUGACCGAUAGUGAACCAGUACCGUGAGGGAAAGGCGAAAAGAACCCCGGCGAGGGGAGUGAAAAAGAACCUGAAACCGUGUACGUACAAGCAGUGGGAGCACGCUUAGGCGUGUGACUGCGUACCUUUUGUAUAAUGGGUCAGCGACUUAUAUUCUGUAGCAAGGUUAACCGAAUAGGGGAGCCGAAGGGAAACCGAGUCUUAACUGGGCGUUAAGUUGCAGGGUAUAGACCCGAAACCCGGUGAUCUAGCCAUGGGCAGGUUGAAGGUUGGGUAACACUAACUGGAGGACCGAACCGACUAAUGUUGAAAAAUUAGCGGAUGACUUGUGGCUGGGGGUGAAAGGCCAAUCAAACCGGGAGAUAGCUGGUUCUCCCCGAAAGCUAUUUAGGUAGCGCCUCGUGAAUUCAUCUCCGGGGGUAGAGCACUGUUUCGGCAAGGGGGUCAUCCCGACUUACCAACCCGAUGCAAACUGCGAAUACCGGAGAAUGUUAUCACGGGAGACACACGGCGGGUGCUAACGUCCGUCGUGAAGAGGGAAACAACCCAGACCGCCAGCUAAGGUCCCAAAGUCAUGGUUAAGUGGGAAACGAUGUGGGAAGGCCCAGACAGCCAGGAUGUUGGCUUAGAAGCAGCCAUCAUUUAAAGAAAGCGUAAUAGCUCACUGGUCGAGUCGGCCUGCGCGGAAGAUGUAACGGGGCUAAACCAUGCACCGAAGCUGCGGCAGCGACACUAUGUGUUGUUGGGUAGGGGAGCGUUCUGUAAGCCUGUGAAGGUGUGCUGUGAGGCAUGCUGGAGGUAUCAGAAGUGCGAAUGCUGACAUAAGUAACGAUAAAGCGGGUGAAAAGCCCGCUCGCCGGAAGACCAAGGGUUCCUGUCCAACGUUAAUCGGGGCAGGGUGAGUCGACCCCUAAGGCGAGGCCGAAAGGCGUAGUCGAUGGGAAACAGGUUAAUAUUCCUGUACUUGGUGUUACUGCGAAGGGGGGACGGAGAAGGCUAUGUUGGCCGGGCGACGGUUGUCCCGGUUUAAGCGUGUAGGCUGGUUUUCCAGGCAAAUCCGGAAAAUCAAGGCUGAGGCGUGAUGACGAGGCACUACGGUGCUGAAGCAACAAAUGCCCUGCUUCCAGGAAAAGCCUCUAAGCAUCAGGUAACAUCAAAUCGUACCCCAAACCGACACAGGUGGUCAGGUAGAGAAUACCAAGGCGCUUGAGAGAACUCGGGUGAAGGAACUAGGCAAAAUGGUGCCGUAACUUCGGGAGAAGGCACGCUGAUAUGUAGGUGAAGUCCCUCGCGGAUGGAGCUGAAAUCAGUCGAAGAUACCAGCUGGCUGCAACUGUUUAUUAAAAACACAGCACUGUGCAAACACGAAAGUGGACGUAUACGGUGUGACGCCUGCCCGGUGCCGGAAGGUUAAUUGAUGGGGUUAGCCGCAAGGCGAAGCUCUUGAUCGAAGCCCCGGUAAACGGCGGCCGUAACUAUAACGGUCCUAAGGUAGCGAAAUUCCUUGUCGGGUAAGUUCCGACCUGCACGAAUGGCGUAAUGAUGGCCAGGCUGUCUCCACCCGAGACUCAGUGAAAUUGAACUCGCUGUGAAGAUGCAGUGUACCCGCGGCAAGACGGAAAGACCCCGUGAACCUUUACUAUAGCUUGACACUGAACAUUGAGCCUUGAUGUGUAGGAUAGGUGGGAGGCUUUGAAGUGUGGACGCCAGUCUGCAUGGAGCCGACCUUGAAAUACCACCCUUUAAUGUUUGAUGUUCUAACGUUGA